GCAGGCCAUGUGAAUCGCACCCCUGGAACUGUGCAGGGCCCACCUGUGUGGCCACACGCAGUGACCCUGAGCAAAGGAGUGACCACAGAAGUGCAUGGCAAAGCAGAAAGGUGUGACGUCUUGGAGGACGCGGGAGGAAAGCACGCCCAGCGGACAGGAGCCAUCACGCGGCUGCGGGCUGCUGCUGAGAACCUGGCGUGGGCCACCGUCGUCAGCAGCGUGGAGGACACUUGUUAUUGCAGUCAGAGUCCAUCUGGAUAAUCCUGGAUAAAUCUCAUCUGGAGAUCCUUCACCAGAUCACAUCGGCAAUGACCUGUUCCCCAAAUAAGGCCCUGUGCACAGGUUCUGGGGCGGCUGGAUGGCAGAGGUGAUAAAGCUGGGAAGAGAGGCAUCCUGGAAGGGCCCGUGUUAUGAAAACCCAGAGUUUCACUCAGAUCGACAGCUGCGUGGGGGCCGGCGCUCCCGGCAGUGAUUGAGUUACCCUCAGCAGCGGGGUCCCGAGGUCGCAAUCCCUGCUGGGGGAGUGAUUGAUGCCGGACUCCAGGGCCCACCUUGGGUGACCCUGGGAUGUCAAUGAGUGACCGCUGAUUCUGGGCCACUUGGUUCUGGGCCACCCGCAUGUCCAGAGACCUCAAGGUGGGCCGACGUCCAACCAGCGAAGCAGAGCAAUCCUUUUGGAAGCUUCUCUCCACGGGGGGCUGGCUGCUCCUUCAUCACUCCCAUCUGAGGGCUUCUGCUUGCAGCCGUCUGUCACGCUGAGCAGCUCUGUGGUGGAUUCUGUGCUGCUUGCUCUGUGUCUAUUUUGUCAAGAUCGCCAGUCUCUCUGGAUUCUCUCCUCUGGGUUGGCCCACGCUCACUCAUCCGGCUUUGGAAGGACAUUUAUCCUCUAGCUUCCUCCAGGAGGGGGAUUUGUCUUAGAGAGUGGCACUUUCUCUUCCCUCCCCAGCCCCUCGUGCACCUUCUGCAGGGAGGGGAGUCCCCUGGUGCUGAGAGGAGAGGUAGGAGAGCCAGGUAGGGCCUGUGGGAGCCCAGCAGAGGUGCCCUGGCCACCUUGAGUGUCUGAGACUCACGGUCUAUUAAAAAUGGAAAAACAAACUGGGCACCGUGGCUCCUACCUGUAAUUCCAGCACUUUGGGAGGCUGAGGCGGGUGGAUCACUUGAGGUCAGGAGUUCAAGACCAGCCUGACCAAUGUGGUGAAACCUUGUCUCUACUAAAAAUACAAAAGUUAGCUGGGUUUGGUGGUACACACCUGUAAUCCCAGCUACUUGGGAGGCAGAGGCAGGAGAAUCGCUUGGACCUGGAAGGUGGAAGUUGCAGUGAGCAGAGAUUGUGCCACUGCACUCCAGCCUGGGUGACAGAGUGAGACUCUUGUCUCAAAAAAAAAAAACAAACAGAAAAAGAAAAAAGAAAAAAAGGAAAAACAACAAAGUUAGCGCUGAGCAGGGUUUCAGGAUUCUAGACCUGGUUUAAAAUGCAUUGCAUGGAAUAACCUGUUUAAUCUGCAAGUUAACUCUCUGAUACAGCGAGUGGUAUUAUCACAAUUUUGACAAGAUAAAGGCACAAAACAAGAUUUAAGAUUUUUUUUUUAAAAAAGGACAGACACCCAUUAAUUCUAAAUAAUUAAAGAUCAAUUCAUUAUGUACACAUACCGUUGACCCCUGAACAGCGUGGGUUUGUACUGGCUGGGUCCGUUUAUAUGUGGAUUUUCCUCUGCCUCUGCCACCCCUGAGACAGCAAGACCAACCCCUCCUCUUCCUUUUCCUCCUCCUCAGGUUCCUCAAUGUGAAGACGACAACGAUGAAGAUCUUUAUGGCUGGGUUCAGUUUUGGUGUCUCAACACCCGUAAUCUUAGCACUUUGGGAGGCCAAGGUGGAUGGAUGGCUUGAGCCCAAGAGUUUGAGACCAGCUUGAGCAAUGUAGUGAAACCCUAUCUCUACAAAAAACUAGCAGGGCGUGUGCCUGUAGUCCCAGUUACUCGGGAGGCUGAGGUGGGAGGACCUGAGCCCAGGGAGAUUGAGGCUGCAGUGAGCCCUGAUUGCGCCACUGCACUCCAGCCUGGGAGUGCGGUCUCAAAGAAAACCCAGUCUCAAGAAACAAAACAAAACAACCCAAAAAAGAUCUUAAGAUGAUCCACUUCUGCUUAAUGAUCAGUGAAUAUUUUUCCUUAUGAUUUUCUUAAUAACAUUUUCUUUUCUCUAGCUUACUUUAUUGUAAGAAUAUAGUAUAUACUUAUAAAACAGAUAAAAUUUGUGUUAACUGACUGUUUAUGGUAUUGGUAAGGCUUCCGGUCAACAGUAGGCUGUUAGUAAUUAAGUUUUGGGGGAGUCAAAAGUGUAAAGCAAUACACUUUAUGGGGGCAGAGCUCCUAACCCCAGUGCUGUUCAAGGGUCAAUCUAAUUGAACAGCCUCUAAAAAUAUCAAGCAAUACUUACAAAUCCAGGGAGAAAAACAUACAUCAACAAUUGUAGUUGGAGCUUUUAAUGAUCGAACAGAGAAAACAGAUACUGAAGUCUUGAUCAAUACAAUGAGUAAGCUGAAGAUAUGAGAUAUGUAGAGAACUUACCAUUCAUCAGACAGAGGCUAUGCCUUUCCCCCAUGCACGCACACACCAUUUACCAAAAUAGGCCAGACACUGAGCCAUGAAGGAAGUCUCAAUAAAGUUCUAAUAAUUAAUACAAAAUAAACUGCAUUCUCUAAUCACAAAUCAAUGACAUUAAAAUUAACAAAACAAUUUUUUUUAACAACUCCAAUAUUUUGGAAAGUAAUUAAUAUAUUUAUGGAUAGCCCUUGGAAAUGAUCAAGGAAAUUAGGAAGUACAUAGAGUGUAACACGGUGAAACCCCGUCUCUACUAAAAAUACAAAAAAAUUAACUGGGCGUGGUGGUG
rnacentral:lncRNA from 1 species